rnacentral:rRNA from 1 species
GACGAACGCUGGCGGCGUGCCUAAUACAUGCACGUAGAACGCUGAAGGAGGAGCUUACUUCUCUGGAUGAGUUGCGAACGGGUGAGUAACGCGUAGGUAACCUGCCUGGUAGCGGGGGAUAACUAUUGGAAACGAUAGCUAACACCGCAUAAGAGUAGAUGUUGCAUGACAUUUACUUAAAAGGUGCAAUUGCACCACUACCAGAUGGACCUGCGUUGUAUUAGCUAGUUGGUGGGGUAACGGCUUACUAAGGCGACGAUGCAUAGCCGACCUGAUAGGGUGAUCGGCCACACUGGGACUGAGACACGGCCCAGACUCCUACGGGGGGCAGCAGUAGGGAAUCUUCGGCAAUGGACGGAAGUCUGACCGAGCAACGCCGCGUGAGUGAAGAAGGUUUUCGGAUCGUAAAGCUCUGUUGUAAGAGAAGAACGAGUGUGAGAGUGGAAAGUUCACACUGUGGCGGUAUCUUACCAGAAAGGGACGGCUAACUACGUGCCAGCCGCCGCCGUAA